AGCCGUAUUCUGCAGUCGACGAUUCCUACGGGAGGCAGCAGUAGGGAAUAUUGGGCAAUGGGCGAAAGCCUGACCCAGCGACGCCGCGUGAGGGAUGAAGGUCUUCGGAUUGUAAACCUCUUUCAGUAGGGAAGAAGCGAAAGUGACGGUACCUAAAGAAGAAGCACCGGCUAACUAUGUGCCAGCAGCCGCGGUAAUAUAUAGGGUGCAAGCGUUGUCCGGAAUUAUUGGGCGUAAAGAGCUCGUAGGUCGUUUGUCGCGUCGAUUGUGAAAAUCUGAGGCUCAACCUCAGACCUGCAGUCGAUACGGGCAAACUAGAGUGUGGUAGGGAAGACUGGAAUUCCUGGUGUAGCGGUGGAAUGCGCAGAUAUCAGGAGGAACACCAAUGGCGAAGGCAGGUCUCUGGGCCAUAACUGACACUGAGGAGCGAAAGUGCGGGGAGCGAACAGGAUUAGAUACCCUGGUAGUCCGCACCGUAAACGGUGGGCACUAGUUGUGGGAACCUUCCACGGUUUCCGCGACGCAGCAAACGCAUUAAGUGCCCCGCCUGGGGAGUACGAUCGCAAGAUUAAAACUCAAAUGAAUUGACGG
rnacentral:rRNA from 1 species